ACGUGCAUAUUUUAUAAUUUUCAGUCAUGAAAUUCAUUAGAACUGAAUCUAUGCGUUGCUUUAAAAACAUGCUCUAAUGCUGCUAUUGAAUAUUCAAAUAUAUGAACUUAUUAUAUUGUACGAAUCAACUGACAAACCGCAGAGCUUAAAACGUUGAACUUAAAAAGAUGAAGCUUGUUAACUUGACAACGUUGUCUUUUUUCGUUUUCAUUGCUGUAUUUUGCGUUCUAAUGCACGCAUCGGAUGCCAGAAAAGCCCAUAAAAGGCCAGAAGGUAAAAUUUCGAAAGACUUUGGGUCCGAGCUGGAUUCGAAAGCAGCUCAAGUACCAGGCCUGGAGGGCUUCUUGGAGCAGGUAGGGAAAAUUACUGACGAUUUCAAGAAGUCAGAAAAGGAAAUCGAAGUGAAUCUGGAAAAGCUCGGACAGGAGUUGGUCUAUUUCCGGGAAGUUGUGGCCAAUCGAAACCAAGAGGUCAAACAACUGCGAACGGAAGUGGAUACUCUUCGAAAUGCGACGGAUGAAUGCGCAGUUUUGUUGAAAUCGGACAUCAAAUUUGUCAAGGAAAACUUCUGAUCACGUUUUAACUCAUACUUCAGAGAAGUUUUACAUAUUACAUUCAGUGUUUAGAAAUUCAUUGUAUUCAUUGUAUUUGCAUCUUCACAAGUUUCUAUCGUGGAAUACUGUAAUUUAAAAAAAAUGAUUUGUUGAAUAAAUUUUUUGUAUCUUUAA